GGGGAUGUAGCUCAGUGGUAGAGCAUAUAUGCUUUGCAUGCGUGAGGCCCUGGGUUCAAUCCCUGGCAUCUCCA